UGGUGGAGUGAUUUGUCUGGUUAAUUCCGUUAACGAACGAGACCUCGACCUGCUAAAUAGUUUGCUCAAGACUUCGGUCUUGAGUACUAACUUCUUAGAGGGACUAUUGGUGCGUAGCCAGUGGAAGUUCGAGGCAAUAACA
rnacentral:rRNA from 1 species